rnacentral:lncRNA from 1 species
GGGAACGCCCCCUCCGCCCUUCCCGCCUUCCGCGCGCCGCUUCGGGCCCGGGAGCGCGGGACGGGCGUUGCCCGGCAACAACACUGUAGCCAUGUUUGCAGCGCCUGAGCCAGCGUGGAGCCAGGAGCUGAAGAGACAGGCCAGGGAAGCCGCCAGUGGGAACGGGAGCGGGGCUGGGUGCCCGCAGCAGGACGGGGUGCCCAGGGCAGCUGGGGAGAAGGACAUCGAUCUCCAGACRCCGGCAAAGUCUCCGGGCAGGAAAGAGGAUCAGGAGAGCCCUGCGUUUGGCAGCUCUAAUGACGCUUUGCUGGAUCGAGAGUCCCGAGAUGUCACGGCUCCGGAGAUCCUGGCGUCCCAGGCCGGCUCGGCAGAUCGUGCUGCGGAUGGGUGCCUAGAGCCCGCUGCCUGGCCGGCCGGGGCAGCCUGCUGGCCGCAGCGUGACAGCAAUGAGGACAGCUGGGGACUCACCAAGAGGAAGCCUCCCGCGCGGGGCGAAGGAAGGAAGYGGCCCGGGGGCCCCGCCGCCGAGCGCCGGGAGGAACCGAGAGAGCUCCACCACGUUCGCCGCGGGCUGGCCCCGGAGACGCUCUACGGGCAGCUCGGUCGCUCCAUGGAGGCAGGCGCGGAGAGAGAGACCGCGGCGGACGGCGGCCGUUACUGGGACGAGCGCUCCAAGAAGAUGGCUCAGCAAAACCUGAGGCAGCUCCUCAGCUUCCUGCGGCUCCUGGUCGACGCGCUCACCGUCCUCCUCGUCGAGCUGGUCCGCUUCCUCGGCGAGUCCGUGGUCCAGGUGCUGCUGGUCGGUCUGCUGACRGCGAUAGGAGAGCACAUGUUGAAGCCCCUCUUGGUGGCUGUGUCUAACAGCAUCCUGCAGCCUCUGCUGCUGUUCCUGCUGAACCUCCUGCACGGCAUCCGGGACCUGACCUACCCGCUCAUCGACAUCCUGGAGGGCAUCUGCUUGCAGGUCGCCGUGGUGCUUCGAGCUUUCAGAUUAGUCGAGAUCAACGUGCAGUCGGACGGAGGAGCAGCUCGGAGGGUUUAGGUGGGCGCUCGCACCACGCGGCGCCCCAGCCAGCCGGAUGCCUGCACCGACGUCCUCGCCGUGGCCGGAGGCGYUGUUCGGCUCGAUACCUUGCGUUUGGCCUGGGGUGGCUUCCUGGUGACGAGAUUUGUGACGCGCAGGCAGAAACGUGAAGGUGCGGACAGGUCUCCGGACUCGGCUCAGCAGCAGCUGCUCAGCGGAGCUGGCGGUAAGCGGGACUGUCUCUAGGSUGGCAAAGGAAGACGGGGAGCAGUUAUCUCCGCGAAGAGCGAUGUAACUCGAGGAAGGCUGGGAAUAUCUGCCAGCAAGGGGGAGGCAACCGCUGAAACGGUGAGGACCACGACGCAGCCGCGUGUUUCUGUGCUGGUGGGGGAUGCGCCGCACCCGUGGGACUGGGUUUGUACUUUGUACUUUCUCAAGUGCCUCCUUAACCUCCCUAUUAAAUGAGAAUUUUAUACCUUG